GGAGAGGUCGCCUAGCAGGCCGAGGGCGACGGUUUGCUAAACCGUUAAGGGGGGAAACCUCCUUCGAGGGUUCGAAUCCCUCCCUCUCCGCCA
rnacentral:tRNA from 1 species